UAAAUCCCAAAUAUACAUCAUGCUCCAAAAGUUACAUUCGGAUUUCAAAAAUACAACCCAAAAGCCAAGACAUAGCCAAAAGUAAUAGAAACCCUAAACAAAAGCGUAUCAGGAAGGUUUCUUCGAUACCUUGCCAAGUUCAAUCCUGUUAAGGAAAACAAAUCUACAGGGUGAGCAAAACGCUCGUGAGGCCAAGAACACACAUACAAGCACAUUACUCAAAUAACAAUCUCAAUUUACAAGUCAAGAAAUCAUAUUUUAUUAAUUAACAAUUUACUGGAAAUAUAACCAGAAACAAUUCAAGGAUACUGGAGCCCUCAGGAGCUAUAUUCCACUUGCACAUUCAAUAACCUCCACGAAUUGACACUCCGUCAAUCGGGUAGGUUUAGUCCGUAGAACUCCACUUAACCUAUCCCCUUUCACCUUACAUACCCCUAUAUCGGGCCCGCCUGUCAUUUGUUUGUGGCGAUACUACUCGAGUAUGCCAAGCAAGACCUCUCACUAGGUCAAGCUUAUAUAUCUCAUGGCUCGCCAAGGUUCCCGACCGAGCCCAUGCCGGCUCAAGUCCAAGGUCGGUCAAUGAGAUUUGGGCGUCCCCAUGUGCACUUGUGUGUCGAGGAGAUUCACUCCAACGACGUAGGCAACUAUAGCAUACCAUUACAUUUCAUUCAUUCAUUCAAUACAUGUCAAUCAUUCAUUCAAUGCAUGUCAAUCAUUCAUUCAAUGCAUUUCAAUCAUUCAUUCAAUACAUUUCAACCAUUAAUAUUUCAUUUCUAAUGAGAACGAGUGUGGUAAAGUACACACUCGACUCCACUUUCAAGAUUUCUAAUCAUUAAUAACAAUUAAACAUGUAACAAGUUUACAUACACCUGACACUCACCAAGUAUUAGGUGUAAGUAAGGUCAAGGAAAGUUCAAGCGUCCACCGUGGGAUCCUCUUGAAGGUCCUCGUGUGCGCCUGAGGAAAUAAUAGUGAAUUAUCAUCCAAAUCCCAAAUAUCGAGGAAUAAUUCGUUCACUAGUAUUAAUCUAGGGGAUUCCGUGAAAAUGAACCUCAAUUACUCGUAAAUCGAGGUUUGAGAGGGGUUUGAUAACUUUCAAAAGUAUUUAAGUCUUUAUCUAGGAAAUCGGGGAUAAAACGUUUAGAUAAUAUCAAAAGAAUAAAGAGUUCUUGAAAAACUUAUUUCCUUGAAAGUUGGAAAUUUUCAGUUUUGUUAUGAAUCUUUGAAAAAUCGUAACUCACUCGGCAUAAGUCGAGAAUUGGAAAACUUUAUACCGUUGGAAACCUCUUAAAAAGUACUACAAGUUCCUAGAAGACACUUUUCCAUGAAUCGAAGUGGAAAGUGCUCAAAAAUGAGCUUGAAGGUACUGUUCCAAAUCACCCAGGAUUGAGCCGGGGUUGAUUUUUCGCUAACUUUGAAAAUUCGGCAGAAUUUACUCGUUGUAAACCAGCCCUUGAAAUUUAUAGCUCAAUUAUAGGUGCAAGCAAGGUUUAGGACAGAACAAGCGGAUCGAGAAUUGGAGUUUCGAGUACCAAGAUAUGGUAGCUCAAAGUUGGGUAAAUUUCAAGACUGUUAACAAAUUUCCAGAUUUGGUUCCGACUUUGGACCUUUAGUUAAGUGUCGGAACGGACUUGGAUUGAUACCAAAUUUUGUAGUAUAAUACUCCUAUAUGAAGGGUAUCUCUCUAUCAAAUUUCGUGGAAAAAUAACUUCGGGAAGAUGGUUAACCAAUCAACCAAAGUUUGAAAUUACUAAGGCCAAACUGCCUUUAGCUCUCUUUCUCUCUGUUUCCAAACAUUCGGCUAAGGAAAAACCUCCAAACAUGGUUCAUUUGUGCAAGAAAGGUCUAAGUAACAUACAUGGUACUUUUAGUAGGUGUUUAGCACCAAGAAAUUCAUUUAGUAAAACCACAACAAGUCUCACAUCUAAUCUGUCCAAAUCUAAGAGUUUUCAAAAACGAGGCAGUCGUCGUAUUUUGAUCAUAAAUCACUCAAUUUAGCUCGGAAUUGGGAAUGGUUGAUAGUGUUGGAAAAUACAUUCAUAGGGAUAAAAUUUCACAGAAUAAAUCAUUUUAAGUUUCAGCAUGCAACUGGCUCGAAAUUAAGCCUAAAGUUACAGCAUCAUCAAAUCAUUUCGGCAGAACGGAGAAACAGGGCAGCUGAAUUCAGAAGAGUGGUGCGGUUCACACACAUGGAACCAGAAUGUGCAUUAUAUACCUCUGGAAAUAUGGGAACGUAUAGUUUCAAAUUCCGCUAACGGCACUUGAUUUCGACGUCGGAGUACGGAGUUAUGGACGAAAUACGAACACUGGUCUGGUUACGACGGAAACCGUUUUCCAGAUUACUAGCUUUGGGAAAUAAAUUCUUUUGAUCAACCAAAACUCAACAUUUUUCAACGACAAUUUUUACACAACUACUACAACAUGUAAAAAACACAAUCAAGCUAUUAAAUCUCCUAAUUUCUGCAUUAAAGUGGCUGAACAGAGCAGGGGCAAAAUGGUCAGAUUUGGCCUUUGCGCCUAACGUGAGUUUCUAUCAAUUUUCCAUCAACAAACCACUGAUUUAAACACUAAUUCCACAUUAUAAACAUCAUCAAGAACAAAAUCAGCAGCAACCCAAGAGUGGGAAUUCAUAGAGCCCACUUUUCCAAUUUUCCAACAUCCACAACAACCCAUAAGAAAUCAAGAGCUAAAAGAUAUACUAGAACUUCCAAAAAUCAAAGUUAGAAGGCUAGAUUAAGACUUACUCUUAGUUGAUGUCUAAGUCAGAGAUUCGGUCCUUCCUUGCUCCUAAGUGAGCCAUGAAAAUCCUCCCCUUUUUAGCUAGAUGUGAACUCCAAGGCUUAGGCUAAGUGGUGCUAAAUUUUGAGAAGAUUUGGUGGUGAUUUGAAUGGUUUUUGUAGAGGAAAUGUUGAAGAGCUUUCGGUUGUCCCUUGGCUGUCUGCUAUCCGUCCAUGGCAGCUAGAAGAAAUGAAAUGUUGGUCUGAUUCCUUUGCGUACAAAUGAAGCUUGCCGUCUAAUAUUUUAAGUACGUAAAAAUCAAUUGCAACUAGUGCGCCUACGCGCGCGUUUUGUGUUCGAUUUCUCUUAAGUUUGUUGCACUAGUGCACUAAACCUCUAGGGCACUUACAUUCAUAUAAAUAUUAUUCAUUCUUAAUUGUCCCAAAAUAAUGGUCCAAGGUCUCUCAAUUAAGCGCGCACGUGAAAACACGUAUUUCCAAUUUAGGCGCGAUAAAAUGAAACUUUCGAGAAAUUCUUAUAACAAUCGUACUACCAACUAUCACUUGAGUUUUUAAACCUAAAAUUGCCUAUUUUAGGACCAUUGUAUAUGUCUCAAAUUUUUGAGCUUAUUGUACUCCCAAUUGGCUAAAGUGUUUAGACACGUUUUCACUUUUCACUAAACAAGCUUAUAAGAAAAUAAUUUUUUGAAACGAGACACUUCAAAAAUAUAACGAAACUAUAAAACCCUGUACUUAGGUCUAAUAAGGUUAGAAAAUAUUAUUCGUGGCAAAAAUCCAAAUAAAUAAUUAAUUUAGCCAAAAUUAGGGUUUUUAAAAAUAAUAGAUUUUCGAGUCCUCACAAAAUCCUUAUGUUUAAGCACAAAAAAUUAGAUGAAAAAAUCACGCAAACAUCAAAGAACAACAUUCUGCAAUUUUUUUUCAGCCACGAUUCUCUACCAUUGCUGUGUUUGUCCUAUGUAAAUUUCCAUCCAAGCACAGCCACUACUUCAACCAAUCAUCAAGCUUAGAUUCGGAACAACAAAAUACAGAAAAUCAAUAUCCAAACAAGUAAAAGACAGGAACGCAAUCCUCUUGGCAGAAGCUUUCGACAAAGUCUGAUGCUUUGGCCUCAGCAACCUCAAUCGACAAUUUUAAACAAGAAAAACAGUCUCAAAUUCUCGUUAAACUCCCUAAAACCAUCAUCAAGAUGCAAUACAACAGAAAGUGAAAUCUGAGUUGGGGUAAAAGUUUGCUAACCCAUAUUCAUUUAUGAAAUCUAUUACAGAUGCUAUGGGUUCGUUGCCAACUAAACGAAAUAUGGGAUAAUCUCUAUACAAAGACAACUCAUGACCCACAACAGCACAUGACCCAGAUGCAACGGUAUGGGGUGAAGAUCUGAACCAACAACUUGUGGGAAACCAGGAGAACCGAAGCAAGAAAAAAAUGAAACCAGAAAAAAUUACAUACUGCAGCAUACCAACAUCAAUCUGAGUAUGUUUAAACAAGGAAAAUGGAAAGAAAAAGGCUACCUUGAAGACUUUAACCCGGGAUGCGUAGAAACCGUGAGCUUUGCCCGAUCAAAGGCUGAAAGUAGGCUUCGAAUGACAGCAGGGGUUUAAGAGUUGAUGGGUUCGUCAGUUCGAGCUUGGAUUUGGCAUUGUUAGAAACGUUUUUCCUCAGCCCUUGCCUGUGCUCAAGCUUCCUCGUUCUUUUCUUUUUCUCUGCUUUUUCCUCCUUGCCCGUAACCUCUCUCCGAUCUCUCCCCAGUUUCUCCAGCCCGUCACUCUUCUAGUUUGACCGUAGCUCCUUUUGUUCCCUUUCCUUCCUUUUUCCCUCGCCAAGCUUUCUCUACUCAGCCCGCCUCUCUUGUUAUGCCUCAAGCUUUUUCAUCAGCCGAACUCCCUUUUUUCUCUUCCCUCUCUCUCCCUACUCAGUUGUCAAUAUUCCUCAGCCCCCCAGAUCCUUCCUCGGCUUCCUUUUUCUCCCUCGCGGUGCUCUUUUCCUUUGUUUCUUUCCUUACCUCCGUUUCUCAGCCGCCACUUCCAGCUCUCCUUUAGACUCCUUCUCAACCCUAGCCGUCACUCCUCUCUCUGGUUUCUUCAGCCGUCCCCUCCUCCAAAUUUUUGAACCCUUAGCCUUGCUUUUAUAUCCCAUCCAAACCCCUUAAACCUCAUCUCAAUGGCUCUAAACAACCUCAGCUCCCUCCCUUAUUGUUAGCCAUUGAUUAUGGCUUUGAAUGGGAGCACUUAGAUGGAUCCCGAUGGCCUGUACUUAUCUCAUCUAACGGAGCCAGAAAAAUACAGUAAUGAAAAUAGAAGAAAGGCAAGAAACCGCAUAAGCUAUCUUUUUCUUUUUUUUUUAUUUAUUUUUUUCCAUCAUUCAUUUUCUUCCUUUUUUUUUUCAAUGAAUCAUUUAAUUAAACAACAAUAAUUAAAAAUAACAAAUUACAUAAAACUUGAAUGAAAUGAACAAAAACUAGGAACAAAAGAUAAAACAAAAGGCUAAGAUUUUUCCUGUGCUUGAUUAAUGAUUUUUCUCUCUCUCUUUUUUUUUUAAUUAAUAAACAGUAAAAAGAAAUAAAACAUAUUUUUUUAUGAAUAAUUUUCUCUUUUGACAAAUUUUAUGCUAAAAGUCUUAACAAUAAAAAUAAACAGCUAAAAGGGCAAAAACGAAUACAAAAUAAAAAUAAAAACUAAAAUAAAAUAAAAUAAUAGAUAAUAAUAAAAAUCUAAAAUGCUAUACAAAUGCUAAAAAAAAAAAGUCUAAAACCAAAAUCAUGAAAUUAACAGGUAAAAAUAGAUAAGAAUUAUUACUAAAAACAAAAAUAAAAAUAGAAUAAAAAUUAUUUAAAAAUUUGGUGUCUACACUGAGCACAGCCUUUUUGAUGUUCCUGUUCAUGAUAAUAUACUACCAAAAUCUGCAGCUAGCUGUUUUCGUUUCGAUUUGCUUGUGUUUUCACUUUCAGAUAGGAUGGAUGUUCCCCCAACAUCAUCUAUUUCUGACAUUGAUUCGUGUAAUAUUCUUCUUCUUAUACACUGUUACCUCUGUGUCUCUUUUGUCAUGAUCUACAGUAGACAUAAUCAUUUUGUUAAUUUUUUAUCCAUAUAAUGUGUCUACAUAGAAAUAAUGAUCUUGUCUUACAAAGUCUGUUUUGCCUGACCUCAUUAGAUGUCAAUGUACAACAAUUUCUUCUUCUUCCGUAUUCAGGUAGCAAUAAUAUUGCUCUUUAAACCAUUCAUUGUCAAUAUGAAAUCAAAGCAAACAUACUAGAUUUCUCAAUUAAUUUAGUCUCCCAUAAAAUAUUAUUUUUUGAUUUGAAACUCUAAAUUUUCAGCCUCAUCGUACACCAUAAACCAAGAAUUUGAUAGACCACCACCUUCAAAUAUGCGAGCAAGUAUCUUAUCAAAUAUUCAGCUUUCAUUCCAUAUUCUAUAUCCUAUUUAUAGUGUCAAAGAUACUUACACUUCUGAGCAUUAAAGCUGCUCUUACUUUCGACAUAACCAAACACCAGUGACACUGUCUACUUUUAGGUAAUCACUGACGUAGAACAAAUAUAUUGAUCAUAGAACAAAUACAAUUAGAGCCAAGUAUAUUGCCAUCUAUUCCAAAUUGUAUUCACUGCCAUGCUAAAUGAUUUUACAUGGAGUCACCUCGAUUCUGUUGUCCUUCUAGAGAGAUUCGAUUGGUUGAAACCAAAAUUCUUGAUAAAUUAGUGUAGCUUUAUAGAGCAAACACUCCUGAAUCAAAAGAAUUUAGACAAUGUAUUAGGAGUUAUAAUAACAUGUUUGCUUUUACAUCUUUGGGAGUCCAUUAUGAUAAAGAUCUCACCAAGAGGAAUGGUGGUAUCUAUACUUUUAGCAUCCAAGGACAGAUAUACCAUUUUAUUGACCCAUUAUUUCCUUCUGAUGAUGAAAAAGCAUCGAACUUGUGGCUGUAUUUUAUGAUACAAAACAUGAAUUAGCAAAUAGAAUGGUUAUUUCAAGCAAAUUCAGGGAGUCUAUUGUAUAGCAACUCAAGUCAAUUCUUGAUAAAAAUCUAUAUUUUGUUUUUAUUUGGAGCUUAACAGAAAUUGAGGACAAGGUAAAUACAAAAUAAUUCUAAAGUCUGAUUCGAGAUUGGACUAGUGUGUCUACAAUACACCUACAACAUCUCAAGUUGUAGGCAUUUGGCUUGAAAGUGAUCAGAACAACACUUAGACUUCAAGAAAUAUUGAAAUCUAGCUACACAAAAGUAGGCAAUAAGAAAAUGGUUAAGCAGUACUAUGGAUGCUAUGAUGCAUUGUAGUACCCCUUUAUAUAUGCUCAAGGUGAAAUAGGUUGGCAUCCGGGAAUUCUUAUAGUGGAGCAACCUGAUCAAACUUGCAGUAAAGAAAAUUUACUAGCUCUUCAUCAAUGUUUUGACAUGGAUCAGAUUCUCAAUGCAGAAGAAAAAGGUGGAACCAUAUGUGUUUGUUGAACCAUUAUACAUUUUGAACUUCUUCUUGCUAGAUCAUAGCUUUAAUGUUUAAAUCUCUAUCAUUACUAUAGUUGCCAAGAAACAAAGAAGCAAAAGCCAAUAGUUUCAUGCCAAGAAUACUAUGCAUACAAAGUUUCAGAUUAGAAUGAGGACCAAUCGAAUCUACUACAUAUUAGUCAUCUUCUAUCGCAAUACUUUGUUGACACUUAUAUAAAACUAGAGACUUUAAGGUUGGAAUUUUAUAGAAGCAGAGAAAAUAAAUUAAGGACAGAAGCAUAUCAAGGGUUGUUAGAUAUUGUUGGAAAUGGUGAAACAAAUGGUACAAAUGUUGGUAAAUGCAUCAUUUUGCCAGCAAGCUUCAUAGGUGGACUAAGAUAUAUGCGUCGCAGGUACAUGGAUCAAUGUUAUGGAAAACGCAAUAGUUUCCUCACAAUGACUUGCAAUCCAUCAUGGCUGAAAAUCAAACAGCAUUUCGAUGAAAAAGAUGAAACUUAGAAUCGACCUAACUUAAUUGGUCAUGUCUUUUGUGCAAAAUUAGAACAGUUGUAAGAAGAUCUCUUGAAAAAGCACAUUUUUUGGCCUGGUGCUAGCUUACAUAUAUGUAAUUGAAUUCCAGAAAUGAGGUCUCCCACAUUCUUACUUCCUGAUCGUUCUUAAAGACAAGUGGAAAAAUGUACUCUUUAGUAGCAUAUGAUAAAAUUGUCUCACAACCAGAUAAAAUCAAGUCACAAUACUGGUACUCUCUUGUUGUAAAGCACGUGCUUCAUGGUCCAUGCGGAUCCUUGAAUCCGAAGAGUCCUUGUAUGCUGCAAAAUCAGAAAUGCAAAAAUAACUACCCAAAGGAUUUUUGUGAGUUCACAAGGCAUGGAAAAAGCUCAUAUCUACUGUAUAAAAGGCAUAAUGAUGUAAGAAAUGUCAUCAUCAGAGAUCAUCAAUUAGAUAAUCAUUGGGUUGUCCCUUAUAAUACAUAUCUUUUAGUAAAAUAUGAUUGCCACAUCAAUGUUAAAAUUAGUUUUGCUAUCGAAGCGGUAAAAUACAUAUAUAAGUAUAUAUACAAGGGUCAUGACUGAGUUAUGUAUCAGAUUAGUGCAGAACAAUCAGACAAGAUUGUUGAUGAAAUAAAAAAUUUCCAGUCUAUUCGAUAGAUAUGUGUUGUAGAGGAUAUAUGGAGAAUCUUUGCUUUUGAUCUCAGUAUCAUUAAUCCAACUAUGGUUAUUCUCCAUCUACACUUAAAAGAUUACCAACCAAUGUCCUUCCAUGAAGAUAAGCCAUUGUAGGAUGUUAUUAUAGAUGAAAGGCUUCAGCAAAUAAUGCCUACAGAAUUCUUUGUCAUGAAUCGAACAAAUAAGCAAGUUGAAGAUCUCAAUUUAUUAUAUAAGAAAUUUCCUUAGUAUUUUUGUUUGGGAUGAAGAUGAUAGAAUCUAGUACCCUUGAGAGCGCAGACAAGUCAUUGGUCGUGUCACCACAACACAUUCGAUAGACAGUGAAAGAUACUAUCUUAGAAUGCUCUCAAUGCAUGUUCGAAAACCAACAUCCUUCACUGAUCUCAAGACAGUCAAUGGAUACAUUACUUUUUCAUUUAAGGAAGCUAUAGAAUAACUUACAUACAUCUAGGGUUGCUGCAUGCACAAGCGCCACUGAAGCUUGUGAGUCGCCGCUAGGGUUUAUGCAUCUUGCACGUACAUGGCCAUGGCUAUCCUCUGGCCUUCUGCUGGGGGGCGUCUUUCUCCUUCUCAAACGUUCCAACGGAAGUCUUUCACGGCUCUGUUCACCGCCGGAUCCUCACAGCCAGCGCUCUCUGUCAAAGCGACGUCUGUAACUCAUAAGGGGAAGCCGACUCUUCUGUUUUCUCAGGAAGCACUGGAUAGUCUGUCCAUUCCUUUCACAUAUGCUCUGGUGGGCAAAUUCUCUAGGGGCAGGCCGAAAAUGGAGGAAGUGCGUAGGUUCUUUUUCUCAUUAGAUUUAAGAGAGGUAGCAUCGGUGGGAUUACUGGACGCGAGGCAUGUGUUCAUAAAACUGUCAAACGAAGUGGAUUUCCAUAGACUUUGGUCUAGAAGCGUCUGGUAUGUCCAUGGCUUCCCAAUGAGGGUCUUCAAGUGGUCAACGACAUUCCAUGUUGAUAAGGAGCAGUCGGUAGCCCUUGUAUGGUUCCAGCUACCCAAAUUGCCGGUUCACUACUUCAACAAAGAGGUAUUGUUUUAGAUUGUGUCAUCGUUGGGUACUCCUUUGUUUGUGGAUGCGACAAUGGCAGAUGCGACAUGGCCCAGUUGUAUGUGGGUUUGUGUGGAAGUUGAUUUGCUCAAGUCUCGGCCUGCAAGAAUUUGGAUUGGCAACGGCGACCAUGAUGGGUUUUGGCACAUCUUAGUACCUAAAAAUCUCCCUCAAUAUUGCUCGCACUGUUUUCGGUAGGGGCAUGGGGUGGCGGGGUGUCGUGUCCUUCGGCCAGAACUCCGGGUAUCCAAAGCUGAGGGUGCGACGCCUGGCCCAUCGGCAAUGGGUGCGCAAACGAACUCUGGGCAAGUUACACCUGUGCCCGUGACCUCAGCCCCAGCGUUAGAGUUAGCAUCGGUUGCGAAGGUCCACCAGACGGAGCCUGGUAUACAGGGGGAGACAGAGCGAGCGUCGGCUUCACUAGUGGCUACUGCUCUUGCUCCUUGGCAGCAUGUCUCGCAGCACGCUAGGGGCUGGGAGUUGCCGCCUGGGGAAGGUGAGCUGGGGGCAGUUUGACCUGCAUGAGCGAGAAUACGAGGUUGGAGGGGGAGACACCAGUGGGUGUGAUUGAGUAGGCGUGUGUGGGUGAACCUGAUGGUGAGCUGGUAGCUGUUACGCAAGGAAGGAUUUCGGGUACGGCUACCCAGAACCUCCAACUUCUAGCGGAGGUGUUGAUGCGUAGACUACCUUCGCCUGUGGUUUCGUACCAACCAGACAGUAGCAUGCCACGCAUGGAGGUGGUCGGUGAGGUACUGACCAGUGGUUUGUUGUGCACGGGGACGGGGAUAGCGCCUAUGGAGGAUAGCAAUGCGAGUGAUGAAAGGAGAGAGGUUGAGCUGCCGCAGGUGGCUGGCAAUUUGUCACCGAGGCUGGUGGUCAGGUGAGAAUAGAAUCUGACAACUUCACUUAUGGAGUUAAACAUUGAUCCCCCUGUUGGAAAUUAAGUAAGUGCUAGAAAGGCAAAGGGGAAGGGCCUGCGUGCUCGAUUUCAAUCGGAUAGGUAUUUUCGGUCCUCAUCGUCCAUCAAUAACUCAUUCCAGGUAUUGCGUGAUGAUUAAUACACUGUUAUGGAAUAUUAGAGGGGUGUCUAUGGUGCCCAAUUUAUGUAGAUUGAAAAACAUUAUUCGCUUGCAUGGUAUCCAGUUUGUUGCAAUCUUUGAGCCAAAAUUAGAUGUAUCUCGAGUAGAGUAUAUUCACAUGCGACUAUCGUUUGACUAUGCACUUGUAAAUGUGUCGGGGGAUCUGUGGAUUUUUUAUAGUAGCCCUUUUGCUUGCUCGGUGGUGGGUACCUCCGAUAAGCAUAUUUUCCUGUCUAUUCAUCAUCCGUGGUUAUCGGGGCCCAUGAUUUUCUUAUUUGUGCAUGUUAUGUGUUCAGUGGAGGGACGUCGAGACUUAUGGGAAAAGCUCGUGUUUGAUAAGCCUCAUUCACUGCCUUGGUGUAUUAGGGGAGAUUUUAAUGUUAUUGUCAAUGCUCAUGAAAAAUGAGGGGGGAGACCAUUCUCUGUGGUAGAAGGGAUAGAGCUCCUUGCAUUUAUGGAAGAGGCCAAGGUGUUCGAUGCUGGAUUCUCGAGAUCGAGUUUUACAUGGUGCAAUAAUCGGAAGGGUAGGGCUAGAAUUUGGAAGAGAUUAGAUAGAUUACUCAUUAAUGGGGAGUGUUCUGAUUUGGCCUUCGUGAUUUCAGUCGUUAUUUAGCGAGGCACCCGUCGAAUCAUGCCCCAAUGAAAAUUUCAUUUUCUUCUAGGCUGGAUAAUGGGCCGCGUCCGUUCAGAUUCUUGAAUGUAUGGACGUCUAAACUGGAUUUACUGGAGGUCAUCAGGACUACCUGGGACACUAAAGUACAAGGAUCACUUCUUUGCAUUCUAUGCUCAAAAUUGUUAGCUACCCGGAGGGCGAUUCAGCAAUGGAAUAAGCGGCACUUUAGCGAUAUUUACGCUGCUGUUCAGGAGGCUGAGGCUGGGCUUGUAAGGGCGGAGGGUGGCUUAGCACAUGAUGAUUCCGUAGAGGAUCCCGAGGAGCUCCACAAGGCACAGGCAGAACUGAGUAGGGCUUUGGCAAUUGAAGAAUAAUUUUGGAGGCAAAAAACUCGGGUCAAAUGGCUCAGUAGUGGAGAUCGGAAUACAAGGUAUUUUCAUGUGGUGGUCAAGUAAAGGAGAAUACAAGGAGCGAUACAUAGGGUGAAAAAUUCGGAGGGGACGUGAGUGGACAAGGAUGAUGACAUAGCAAAUGAGGCAAUUAAGUAUUUCUCUAACCUGUUUUCGAGGUCUAUGGACUCUAGUCCGGGGGAGUUGGUGCACUUAAUCCAGCCAAUGGUCACGGAAGAGGAGAGUGCACUGUUGGCAGAAGUGCCUGACAUGGAGGAAGUUCGACGCCAGGUGUUCACCAUGGAUGGGGAAAGUGCUGCAGGAUCGGACGGUUUUAUAGGUAAGUUUUUUACUUUUGCAUGGGACAUCAUUGCGUAGGAUGUGCACAGAGCGGUGGUGAGUUUCUUUUGUGGCAGUGAACUGCCUAGGUUUAUUACUUCCACUUCAAUUGUGUUGCUGCCUAAAGUUUCGAAUCCCUAGGAUUUCUCAAAAUUCAGACCGAUUAGCCUUUUCAAUUUCUUCAAUAAGUGUUAGCCAGAGUUCUGGUGGGUCGUCUGGCCUCGGUGGUGCCGAGGAUUAUCUCCCCCCAGCAGACGGGGUUUGUCAAAGGCCGAACUAUAACGGAUAAUUACUUGUUGGCUCAGGAGUUGAUCGCGGGCAUAGGCAAGAAGGCAAGAGGGGGGAAUGUAGCAUUAAAACUAGAUAUGACGAAGGCAUACGAUCGGAUGUCCUGGAGGCAUAUUAUUUCCACGUUGCACGCUUUCGAUUUUGGAGAACGGUUUAUUGACCUGGUCUGGAGGCUUAUUUCUAACGUUUGGUUUUCAAUUAUCGUCAAUGGUAAAUCACACGAGUUCUUCAAGUCUAGCAAGGGCUCAAGUCAGGGGGAUCCUUUGUCCCCAGUACUUUUUAUUAUUAGGUCAGAGAUGCUUUCGCGAGGUUUAAAUGCUCUAGCAAUGCAGCAGGGUUUUGUCGGGUUUAGAGUCCUAACAGGCUGCCCGGUCGUCACGUACCUAGCUUUUACUGAUGACGUGCUCAUCUUCACUAAUGGGUCUGCUGCAGCUUUAAAAUGAAUUAUGCAGGUGCUCAACGCGUACUAGCAAUCCUCGAGACAACUGGUAAAUGCUCAAAAGAGUGGCUACUUGCUACUUCACACAUAAGGCACUAACACCAACUCAGAGAAUGGUGAUAGAGCGGAUUACACAGUUUACUAGACAGGAGUUUUCGAUUCUCUAUCUUGGCUUUACUUUGUAUACAGGUAGAAGCAAGGCAGCGUACUUUGGAGAGAUGUGCUAGGCGGUGUUGGCUCGAAUCAUGUCAUGGAAGUCCAAGUUGAUAACUUAGGAGGGGAAAAUAGUCCUAAUAAAGCAUUUGCUUUCGUCCAUUCCGGUCCAUCUACUAUCUGCUGCGGUAUGUCUGGUUUCGAUCUUCAAGAGAAUAGAGCAGGCGUGUGCGAAUUUUUUAUGGGGAUCAUCGGGGAAAAGGACAAAAUUCCAUUGGAUCAGAUGGUCUCGGUUAUGCCUUCCAGUUGAGGAGGGGGGAGUGGGUUUCAGGAGGCUCCGGGAGGUAUACUCGGCUUUCUCCUGUAAAUUGUGGUGGAAUUUUCGGACUGAAGUGUCGCUAUGGGCGGAGUUUAUGCAUGCAAAAUACUGCAGGGGUCUUUAUCCUUGCCAGGUGGAAUUGAACCGCUAUGACUCUCUGACGUGGAGAAGAAUGUUAAACAUAAGUCAACAAGUGGAAUUAGCCAUGGUAUGGUUGGUGAACGGGGGUUCCUGUGAUUUCUUAUAUGCCAACUGGUUGGGGAGUGGAGCUCUAUGUUUGAAAGCUAUGGUGUACCCGACCCUCACCUUUAAAGAUUUCAUCACAAAUAGGGAAUGGGAUGUCAAUUUGCUUGGUCAAUAUAUACCGCAGGAGCUCAUCCACCCAAUACUACGACACCCGGUCCCGACGGGAGGCAGCCGCGACGAGAUGAUAUGGAGCCUGAUGGCUUCGGGGAAAUUCACGUUGGCAUCGGCCUUUCAUGAAGUUCGUCAGGCUCGAAAUUCCUCUGUGAUCCACUCUCAGGUAUGCCAUGCUCGGAUUCCAUUGAAAAUUUCUUUCUUCAUGAUGUGUUUGCUAUUGGAAAAAUUGCCCUUAACUGAUGGCUUGUGAAGGGUGGGCGUUAGAUUAGCCUCCAAGUGUUUGUGUUGCCAAGAGGGAGCGAAUGAGAUGUUGGAGCAUGUUUUCUCGAAGGGCCAAGUUACGAUGGGAGUCUGGCUUUAUUUUGGUUCGAUGUGUGGGGUUGCAUACCAAGGCCCAUCAUUACAGGCAUGGCUAACGGCUUGGUGGAUGUCGUCACCUAGGUCUGAGAAAAGACGGGUCCUUUUCUCAGUCCUUCCCAGUUUUAUUCGCUGGCACAUGUGGAAGGCUCGAAAUAAAUCAUUUUAUGAAGGGUUUCAAAUGCGAGUGGCGAGGGUCUAUUGUUAUUCUUGGUUUUGAUGAUCACAAAGUAUUUUGAAAUGUAUCUAACCUUCUUCGAUUAUAAGUGUCUUUACAUAUCAAAGAAUCAGGUAUGAAUAGGUCAUGAAAUGCAUUUCAACCAAAAGAAGAAGCAAAAACAGGAUACUCACGUCGGACGGCCGAAAGGAAUCUGUCGGACGUCCGAAGGAUAAAGAGCAUCAAGAAGGAAGCUCUGUCGGACGCUCGUGAGGAAGCAUCGGACGUCCGGAAGGAUCGGACGCUUGCCAUCGGACGCUCAUCAACCGCAUCGGACGUCCGAAAAAUUCCAAGCUAACUUGCCAACUCUCUGCCUACGAUCGGACGCUGCGGUGUCAGACGAUCAAGACGCAUCGGACGUCCGAACGUCAACUUGGAUGCCAUCGGACGAUUGGUUCGGACGAUGAUUUGAUCGUCGGACGUCCGACAGCCCCAACGGCUAGUUGACUCUUCAGCUGCCUUCUAUCCGUUGGAAGCAUUGAUGAAGCCCAUUUCUGGUUCCCUUUAAAAUCAAACUGGUCUGAACGAAGUAGAGACUUUUGCACACUUUGUUUACAAGAUCUAGUGAGAUAUUUUAGCUAGAAAAUAGUCUCCAAAGCAGAUUUGUUUUAAAGUGGUGUGAAUUUCUGUUGAGCUUUUCUUUUGUGAGUGAAAAAAUCUUUAGUGUAGCUCUGUUGAGGGUUUUCUGAGUGAUUGUAAAACUUCUUGGCUUGAGUAAGUGAGGCUUAGGGCAAGGAGGAAGUGCUCCCUCCAUUGUACAUCUAGUUGAUCGACUUUCAUCAAAGAGAAGUUGCUCUUCCUUGUGUUUGGUCUUCAAGUUUGGGUAAAGCUUGGUAGACACUUGGUUUGUUUCUCCAUUUUACAUUUCUGAUUAAUAAAAUCUUCAUUGCUUAUCUAUACUUGCUUCUCCGAUCAAUAUUGCUAUUGUCUUCUAAUCUACUUGGUUGAUCAUUACUAAAAAGGAAGGUAAAUUUUCAUUAACGAAAAAGUGCAUAAACUUGGUUAAGAUUUUAAUCAAACCAAUUCACCCCCCCCUCUUGAUUGUCUGUGGGACUAACAAUUGGUAUCAGAGCUUGGUCUCCUUGAGAUUAAGCUCUAACGGCUUGGAGUAAAGAUGACAACCAGUCAUGCUAUGUUUGUUGAGGGGCAAUCUGUUACUAGGCCUCCCAUGUUCAGUGGCUCUAACUAUGUUAGCUGGAAAGAACGAAUGAUUAUCUUUUUGCAAUCUAUUGAUAUUGAACUGUGGUUUAUUGUGAGUGAAGGACCGCAUGAAGCUAACUUUCUUGAUGCAGAUACAGGGCUGCUUCGGCCAAAAAUGAGAGCUGAAAUGAAUGCUCAAGACAGGACUAACCUCACAUUGAAUGCCAAGGCCAUGAAUGUUCUCUAUAGUGCCUUAGAUUCAAAUGAAUCAAUUAGAGUGAAAGGCUGUAAAUCAGCCAAAGAAAUGUGGGAUAAGUUAAGAGAAAUCCAUGAGGGUGGUGACAAUGUGAGAGAACAGAGAAAGGCCAUCUUGGUCACAAAGUAUGAAUCUUUUAAGAUUGAACCUUUUGAGGAUAUUGACAAAAUGUUUUGCAGGUUCACUGACUUGAUCAAAGAUCUCGAGGUGUUGGGCAAAGAGUACACCUUGGGAGAGAAGAACAGAAAAAUUCUCAAUGCAUUGGGCAAAGAAUGGGAAAAUAAAGUGACUGCAAUAGAAGAGGCUAAGGAUUUAAGUUCUGUGCCUAUUGAAUCUAUCAUUAACUCACUAACCUCUUAUGAGUUGAAACUGAAAUCUAAAGUGCAGGAGGAAGAGGAUGCUAGAGCAAAGAGAAACAUUGCUCUAAAGAUUACUCAAAGUGAAGAUGAUCCAGCUCACUUGGAUGAUGAAGAUUCGGAUGGUGAUGAUAAUGAUCUUGCUCUUAUCACCAGAGGCUUCAAAAGAAUUUUGAAUAAAAGAAAGUUUAGAAGGGGAGGUCCUAGCAAUCAAUUCCAGAAUCAACCAUCUAUCGCAAAGUACAAAGGAAAACAAGAUUUCAACAAGAAACAGUUGGACAAAUGCUUCGAAUGUGGACAGAUUGGACACUAUGCAAAUGAAUGCCCCAUGAAGAAGAUGAAAGAUGGAAAAGCUGAUCGAAAGCCAAGAUUCAACAACUUUCAGAUUACUUGGAAUGAAUGCAACUCCGAAGGGGAAGUUGAAGAAGAAGAGGAAUCAGCUCAAAUGGCCUUCAUGGCUAUUGGAAAUAAUGAGGUAACUUCCACUCACUCGCAAUCUGAAAGUGAUGAUGAUGAAGAUGAUGAUCUUGAAUCUUUUGUUGAAAAGCUACAUAAUGCCUUGAAGGAAUCUUAUGAUAAGAACAAGCUGUUAAAACAGAAAAUUGCUUUUCUCAUUCAAGAAAAUACAAGUCUGGUUCAACAAAAUAAACAUCUAAAGACUGACAAUGAAUGCCUUGUAAGAGCCGGAUGUGAUGUUCAAAACGAGCUUGACAGAAAGACUAAUAUUUGUGAAAUGCUGAAGGAAAGGCAUGGUGAUUUGAAGAAAAGAAUGGACAUCUUGGAUGAAACUUUGAAAUCAAGAAAACAGGAUUUUCUCAAAAGAAACAUGUCAUCUACUCAUCCUUCUGCUUGUCAAAGAACAUUUGCUCACAACAAAAUUGCACAUGGCUUCACAACAUAUAGAAGAGGUGGAUUGAGAUAUAUCAAACCAGUACAUGUUAAGAACUCUUUCAUUAUGUGUGAUUUCUGUUGUCAAAGAGGGCAUUUGAAAGGAGAUUGCUAUGUGAAAAGAAAUCAGAACAAAGGGAUGAAAUGCAUGUGGUUAGUUAGAUACAAUGCUAACUAUUAUGGACCCAAAAAUUAAAAUGGGUACCAAACACCUUAUUUUUUCAGGAAAAAGGAUCAAACAAGUCCAAAUGGUUUAUUGAUAGCGGCUGCUCAAGGCACAUGACCGGUGAUCCCUCUCUAUUCAUAAAGCUGAAAUCAAGAUCAAGUGGAAAAGUGACAUUUGGUGAUGAUGUGAAAGCUAAAACAAUUGGAAUAGGUGAUGUUGGUAAGGAUGGUGAAACUUUUGUUCAUAAUGUGCUCUUAGUUGAUAACUUGGGUUAUAAUUUGCUUAGUGUUAGUCAAUUGUGUGAUAAAGACUUGAAUGUGUUGUUUAGAAAGCAUGAAUGCAUUGUACUUGAUUCCAAAUACAAUGUUGUGUUCAAAUGUAAGAGGUUCAACGACAUUUAUAUUGUGGUUCUUGAUAAAAUUGAUUCUUCUAGCUUAACAUGUCUUAAAGCUUCAAAUGAAGAUCCUUGGUUGUGGCAUAGAAGACUUUGUCAUUUUAACAUGGAGUUACUAAAGGAAAUUUCGAAAAAGGAGCUAGUUAGAGGCUUGCCAAAAAUCAGUUUUGAAAAGGAUAAAAUAUGUGAUGCAUGUCAAUUUGGAAAAGAAACAAAAGUUUCUUUUAAACCAAAGAAGUGUGUAUCUACUUCCAAACCUUUAGAACUCUUGCAUCUUGACUUAUUUGGCCCUACUCAAAUCUCUAGCUUGGGUGGUAAGAAAUACUGUUUUGUGAUUGUAGAUGAUUAUUCUAGAUACACUUGGGUAAUAUUUCUUGCUCAUAAGGAUGAUGCAUUCAAGAAUUUCACUUCAUUGUUUGCUAAAGUGCAAAAUCUGAUUGGAUUAAAAAUUGUUAGAAUUAGAAGUGAUAAUGGAACAGAAUUCAAGUAUUGUGGUUUUCCAGAAUUUUAUGAUCAUAAUGGCAUAACUCAUGAGUUUUCUAUUGCAAGAACUCCACAGCAAAAUGGUGUUGUAGAAAGGAAAAACAGGACUCUCCAAGAGGCUGCUAGAACUAUGUUAAAUGAAUGUAGGUUGCCUAAAUAUCUUUGGGCUGAAGCGGUAAACACUGCAUGUUAUGUGAUGAAUAGAAUUCUCUUGAGACCUAUUUUAAAGAAAACUCCUUAUGAGCUGAUUUUUGAUAAGAAACCUACAGUUGGUUAUUUCAAAGUAUUUGGUUGUAAAUGUUUUAUUUUGAAUCUAAAGGAACAUCUUGGUAAGUUUGAUAAAAAAUCUGAUGAAGGAAUAUUUUUGGGGUAUUGUGAAAAUAAAAGAGGAUACAGAGUUUUUAAUAGAAGGACUCUUGUGAUUGAAGAAGCUAUACAUAUAACAUUUGAUGAAACCAAUGAUGAUAAUUCCAAAAGUCCGUGUGAGGAUGAUGAUGUAGGUGUUCGAGCAGGAAUGGAAAAGCUGUCAAUUGGAAAUGAAGGAAGUUCUAAACCAGCAGCAACUGAAAUGGAAAAUGAAGUUCAUAAUGAUCAAGAAGAGGAAGAUGAAGACAAAAAUGAUGAUUCACUCAAAGAUCUUCCCAAGGCUUGGAAAUUCAGCCAAAAUCAUCCAAAAGAGCUUAUAAUUGGUGAUCCAUCCGAGAAGGUAAACACUCGUUCCUCAUCUAGAAAAUUGAUUGACAAUUUUGCUUUAGUGUCUCUCUUUGAACCCAAAAAUGUCAAUGAUGCUUUAAAGGAUGAAAACUGGAUUUUGGCAAUGCAAGAGGAACUUAAUCAAUUUGAAAGAAAUGAAGUUUGGACACUUGUUGAUAGACCUCAAAAUCAGCCUAUCAUUGGCACAAAGUGGAUUUUUAGAAAUAAGUUGGAUGAUAAAGGUGUUGUUGUAAGAAAUAAAGCCAGAUUAGUUGCUAAAGGAUAUGCACAAGAAGAAGGAAUUGAUUUUGAUGAAACAUUUGCUCCCGUAGCAAGAUUAGAAUCUAUUAGAAUGCUUCUUGCUUUUGCUUGCUUCAAAAGUUUCAAAUUGUUUCAAAUGGAUGUUAAAAGUGCCUUUUUAAAUGGUUUUAUUGAUCAAGAAGUGUAUGUGGAUCAACCCCCCGGUUUUGAAAAUACAAAAUUUCCAAGUCAUGUGUUUAAACUUUCUAAAGCUUUAUAUGGUUUAAAACAGGCUCCAAGAGCUUGGUAUGAAAGAUUAAGUGGUUUCUUGAUUGAAAAAGGUUUCAAAAGGGAUGUUGUGGACACCACACUUUUUACUAAGCACGUGUUGAAAGACCUUCUUAUUGUGCAAAUAUAUGUUGAUGAUAUUAUUUUCGGUGCUACUAAUGAGUAUCUAUGUAAGGAGUUUUCCACCACUAUGCAAAAUGAAUUUGAAAUGAGUAUGAUGGGAGAAUUAAAUUUCUUCCUUGGACUUCAAAUACAUCAAGCUCUUGAGGGAAUUUUUAUAAAUCAAGCAAAAUAUACCAAGGAAUUGCUGAAAAGGUUUGGCAUGGAGGACUCAAAACAAGUUGGAACUCCAAUGUGCACUUCUACAAAGCUUGACAAAGAUGAAGAAGGUAAUCAUGUGGAUGAAAAGCAUUAUAGAGGUAUGAUCGGAAGCCUACUUUAUUUAACCGCAAGUAGACCUGAUAUUAUGUUUGCUGUUUGCUUGUGUGCUAGAUUUCAAUCUUGUUCAAAAGAAUCACAUUUGAAUGCUGUAAAAAGAAUUUUUAGGUAUUUGAAAGGUACAUUAGACUAUGGUCUUUGGUAUGCUAGAUCUAAUGAGUUUGCUCUAUAUGGUUAUUCGGAUGCUGAUUUUGGAGGUUGUCAUGUGGAUAGAAAGAGUACGAGUGGAACUUGUCAUUUUCUUGGAAAUUGUUUAGUCUCUUGGUUUAGCAAAAAGCAAAAUGCAAUAUCUUUGUCUACAACCGAAGCGGAAUAUUUUGCCGCUAGUGCAUGUUGUGCUCAACUUUUGUGGAUGAAGCACACUUUGAAUGAUUUUGGAUUGUUGUAUGACUGCAUGCCUGUAUUCUGUGAUAAUACUAGUGCUAUAAAUUUGACCAAAAAUCCUAUUCAUCAUUCUAGGACAAAGCACAUAGAUAUAAAGCAUCACUUUAUUCGUGAUCUUGUUCAAAAAGGUGAAAUAUGUGUAAAUUAUGUUUGUUCUAAAGAUCAAUUUGCUGAUAUAUUUACCAAAGCUCUGCCAUUAGAUCAGUUCAUUCAUCUAAGAUCAAAAUUAGGAAUAAUCGAAAAAUCAUCCUAAUAUUUCUCAAAGUCUUCGGACGUCCGAAAGAAGAUGAACGGACGUCCGAUGAUGUUCUUCAGCCAUUUUCCAGAAUUGCGCCUGUUCGGACGCAACUGUCGGACGUACAACUUCGUUCGGCCGUCCGACAGUGCAACGGCUCAUUUGUUUUAAAUCAACUUUCUUCCUCAUUUGCUUCAAUCUUUUUUUAUUUCCUCUCGGACGAAAACCCUCUCAUUUCUCACUCUCAAAUUCAUACCAUUCUGAAGCUCUCAUUCCCAAAUUGAUUCAAACAAAACUUUUCCUGAUUGAUUGCGAUUCAUUUCUCCUAAUUAUUUCAUCGAAUCGCAAAACAUUUCGAAAAUUCCCAAAUUUCCCUCAAAACCCUACUUUCUCAUAACUGCUCUGUCAAAUCUUGUUCAAGGACUUUGUGUCCCAAAAUUUCUGUACGAUUCACUUCCCUACUGCUGUGUGCAUCAUUUGCAUUCCUCAUUCCACACAUCCUUUAAGAUUAUUAUACUUAUUUCUUCUUUUGGUGUAGAAUGGACGGUCAUGGUGAGGCUAGUAGUCCCCUACUGGAGAGCUACCCCGUGGGGUGCUUCCGGUGAUUCCGUACCAGAUCCGACCCAGAGGGCCGUUGUGCGUUGGAGCCCGGCUAACCGCCUCCGACGUUGCGAGUGUCGACACAAGUACGCUUACCCUAAUUUCUGGUGUUGGCAGUGGCCGAGGAGCGUAAGGAGUUGGCCGAAGAUAAGGCUAGGGUUGAGGCGAGUUGAACCAGCUUAGGGCGGCCAAUGAGAAACAGGCUGAGCGCAUUAAGGGGUUGGAGUAUGACGUGCUUGAGGUAGAGGAUAGGGUUGAUGGCCUCUGCACUCAACUUAGGGAAGUUCGUGAGCGUGAGACUAAGCGAGCUCGAAAUGUUAAGGUUCGAGCCGCAUCGAUCCUGACCUCUGCGUGGACAUGGUCGAGGGCGUGAGUGACGAGGACUCGUGUGCGGGACCCGAGGCUGGGGUUGGAUCCACCUCGUCGGGUGGGUCUACUAGCCCAUCGACGGACUAGGUCUCGACUCCUAGGUUUUUGGGAUAGUUUUGUUUCUUGUAUAUAGGGAUAGGGAAAGAACCUAAGCUAGCCGUUUGGUAUGUUUGGCUUAGCUACAUGUAUAAUCUUUUGAUAAGGCCAUUCCCUGGUGGUUUUUCUAUGUUUCGACUUGACUUGACUGUACUUGAUUUGACUGUACUUGGCUUGACUGGUUGUGAUAUGUGUGUUGUUUGACUUUGUUUGGAAUGUAUAUAUAUGUUAUUGUAAAAGCUUUUGGGAUUUUAUUUACAUGCAUUGUUAUUCUAUUGUUCUAGUACGUUUGCCUAGACCAAGUAGAGUUCAUGAAGGUACACGUGUGGACGGGACGUGGGGGAAAUAGACAACCCACAGGACAGGGGUACUGGGGAACCCUCAUCUGGACCUAAUCCUGACCCCAACGUGCAAAUCGCCGCGCUAUGCAGCAAAUGACCAAUUUGCUGGCACAAGUGGUGCAGCAACAGGGCCAAAACCCAAACCCUAAUCCUGGAAACCCUGGCAACCACGUCGAGAGCGAAGACAGAGCUCUCGAACGAUUUCAAAAGUUUGCUCCACCCAAGUUCAUUGGGGGGCCCGAUCCGGAUGUCGCCGAAAGGUGGCUCGAGAAGAUGGUCGAUAUUUUUGCGGCCUUGCACUACACCGAAGAACGGCAGGUGACUUUUGCCGUUUUCCAGUUGGAAGGGGGGCCCGUUCCUGGUGGAACGUAAUACGGCAAAAAUGGGAACGGGAACAAACGCCCAGGACUUGGGUGAAUUUCAUAAGGGAAUUCAACGCGAAAUUUUUCCCUCCUCUAGUUCAGGAGAGGAAGGAAGAUGAGUUCAUCCGACUCCGCCAAGGGACUCAAUCUGUGGCGGAAUACGAGAGUCAAUUUACCCGCCUGUCCAAAUUUGCGCCUGAGCUGAUCAUGACCGAGCAACGGCGGAUCAGGCGCUUUAUCCAGGGCUUGAAUGUCGAAAUCCAGAAGGACCUCGCAGUGGCUCAAAUCAAUGCUUUUAGCGAGGUCGUGGAAAAGGCCCAACGAGUAGAGAGUGCUAGAUUGCAAGUCCGGAACUUCCAGGCAAAGAAGCGGGGUUUUCCUGGGAGUAGUUCAGGACAGGGUGAGAAGAGUACCCCCUCCAAGUUUGGACGAGGAAUGGGAGGUGGACGACAGUCGGGUACAGGCAGAGUCGUCUAGGGGUGGCCAAGCUGGGCGAGGCCAAAAGGAAAUUUUCAGGGAGGCUCAGCUUCAGCACCUCGCGGUCCCUGUGGGCAUUGUGGGAAGCCAAACCACACGGAAGAUAACUGCUGGAGGAAGGAGGGCAAAUGUCUGCGAUGUGGAAGCGCAACCACCAGUUGGCUACUUGCCCAGUCCUAAAAAAAGACGGAAAGGGAGUCAACCACCGUCGAGGACCAAUGCUGGACCAGCUAAGGGAGAUGGGUCCAAACCUAAGGUGCCAGCUAGAGUGUAUUCGUUAGACCCCAACAGGUCCCAGAUUCCUCAGAGGUCGUAGAAGGUACGAUCCUAUUUUCCACCGUUUUGCCAAAGUUUUAAUUGAUCCUGGUGCCACUCAUUCCUUUGUUAACCCUGAUUUCAUGUGUGGCAUCAUAUAAAACCUGCUAGUUUACCAUACGACCUAGAAGUUAGUACACCUACGGGGAAUCAACGUUUGGUUACUAGUAUGGUUUAUAGGGAUUGUGAAGUGUGGGUAGGAGAGAAGAGAUUGUUAGGGAUUUAAUUAGUCUGGCCAUCAAAGGGUAUGAUGUAAUUUUGGGUAUGGACUGGCUAGCCAAGUAUAAUGCCCAACUGGAUUGUAAAACGAAAGUGGUAGCAUUCCGUAUUCCGGUGAGGCAACCUUAAGGUUGGAUAUAAGGGGUAGGUUAGCCUCAUCUGCUUUGAUUUCGGGCAUUCGGGCUAGGAAACUGCUAAGUAGAGGGGCGCAAGGAUUUUUAGCCUUUCUGAUUAACACCCCUCGGAUAAGUUAAAAGUGGAGGACGUGGCCAUAGUAAAGGAAUUUCCGAUGUAUUUCCUGAUGAGUUAGUAGCCCUACCUCCGGAAAGAGAGAUAGAAUUCAAGAUAGACCUGCUACCUGGAAUUCACCCAUUCAAAAACACCAUACCGAAUGGCCCCUGCAGAGCUCAAGGAGCUAAAGUUGCAAUUACAGGACCUUCUGGAGCGGGGAUUCAUUCAAGAGAGUGGGUCUCCUUGGGGAGCUCCUGUCCUGUUUGUCAAGAAAAAGACGGAGGUUUGAGGAUGUGUAUCGAUUAUCGGGGCCUGAAUAAUAUUACGGUUAAGAAUAAGUAUCCACUGCCCCACAUAGAUGAGUUGUUUGACCAGUUGCAGGGAGCGGUGGUCUUCUCGAAACUGGAUCUCCGCCAAGGGUAUUACCAGUUAUUAAUCAGGAAGGAAGAUAUUCCGAAAACCGCCUUCAACUCGAGAUAUGGGCAUUACGAGUUCGCAGUUAUGCCCUUUGGAUUAACCAAUGCUCCUGCCGCCUUCAUGGACCUAAUGCAUAGGGUUUUUAAGCCCUACCUGGAUCGAUUUGUCGUAGUCUUCAUCGACGACAUUCUGGUCUAUUCCAAGACACGUGAAGAGCAUGAGCAGCACUUGAGGAUUGUCUUACAAACCCUAAGAGACCAUCAACUGUACGCCAAGUUCAGCAAGUGCGAAUUUUGGCUGGAGAAAAUUUCUUUUCUGGGACACGUAAUUUCUCAAGAGGGUACUUCAGUUGACCCGGCGAAAGUAGAGGCUGUGACUAAUUGGAAGAGGCCAGAAAACCCCACAGAGAUCCGCAGUUUUCUAAGGCUAGUUGGGUAUUACCGACGUUUCAUUAAAGACUUCUCUAAAUUAGCAGGUCCUUUAACUGACCUGACAAAGGUCCUUAUGGAAUGCCCGAUGUGAGACGAGUUUUCAAGAAUUAAAGAAAAGAUUGACCAUGGCUCCAGUGCUAGUCUUACCAAACGGAGUGGACAGAUUUGCUGUGUAUACUGACGCGUCACGAGAAGGCCUGGGUUGUGUAUUAAUGUAGAACCGUAAUGUGAUCUCUUUUGCCUCUAGAAAGUUGAAACUUCAUGAGCAAAAUUACCUGACCCACGAUCUGGAGCUAGCCGCCGUUGUUUUCGCACUGAAAAAGUGGAGACACUACCUAUAUGGGGUGACCUUUGAAGUGUACUCGGACCAUAAGAGUCUUAGGUACCUCUUUUCACAUGAGGCAGCGACGAUGGAAUUUUUGGAGGAUUACGACUGUACCAUCAACUACCAUCCAGGAAAGGCGCAAGUAGCAGGGUUAAUGAUUAAAGAGUGGAAUUUGCUCGAGUCAGUUUGCGAGUGGAAACCCUACCUUGGGAGUCAUAAAGUGAUUUUUGGUAACAUUAAGGUAACCUCCACCCUUUUGGAGCGGAUAAAAGAAGCGCAAAAAGAGGAUGCUAUGGUACGGAAGUGGGAGAGAAAGUGAAAAAAGGAGAAACGACUGAUUUCAAUUUCAGUCCUGAGGGUAUUUUAAAAUACCGGAACCGAAUAGUGGUGCCGAAAGAUGAGUCGUUGAAAACGGAAAUUUUAGCGGAAGCUCAUCGGUCCAAGUAUACAAUCCAUCAGGGUAGUAGUAAGAUGUAUCAGGGCCUGAAAUGAACCUAUUGGUGGGAUAAUAUGAAGAAGGAAAUCGCUCUGUACGUGCAAAAAUGUCUCGUUUGCCAACAGGUUAAGGCGGAACAUCAAAAACCAUCGGGCUUGUUACAACCCCUUGAGAUACCCGAAUGGAAGUGGGAGAACAUCACAAUGGACUUUGUUUCAGGUUUACCACGAACGCAACGAGGACACGAUGCCGUUUGGGUAAUCGUCGACCGGUUAACCAAAUCGGCUCACUUCCUGCCGGUAAACAUGAAGUAUUCCAUGGAUAAGUUGGCCCAGCUGUACAUGGCCGAGAUCGUAAGGCUACACGGUGUUCCAGUCAGUAUCGUCUCCGAUCGAGAUCCACGUUUCGUAUCUAGAUUUUGGCAGAAAUUUCAUGAAACGCUAGGGACGAAACUCAACUUGAGCACGACCUAUCACCCUCAGACGGAUGGACAAUCGGAGCGAACCAUCCAAACUCUUGAGGAUAUGCUACGGACUUGCAUUCUGGAUUUUGGAGGCAACUGGGGUCAACACAUGACCUUAGUAGAGUUUGCGUACAACAACAACUACCAUUCGUCGAUUCAAAUGGCUCCAUACGAGGCACUAUAUGGACGAAAAUGCCGAUCACCGAUCUACUGGGAUGAAAUUGGUGAGAGAAAGGCCUUAGAUCCAACCACUAUUCCAUGGAUGGAGGAGGCGCGAGAAAAGGUGAAGCUAAUACGGCAACGACUCCAAACAGCUCAAAUUCGACAAAAGAGCUACGCAGAUAAUUGAAGAAAAGACUUGGAGUUCGAAGUUGGAGACCGUGUUUUCCUCAAGGUUACACCGUUAUGGAGUGUCACGACGGGUAGAGGAAAGAAAUUACAACCGAGGUUCGUCGGACCUUACAAGAUCCUGCAGAGAAUAGGUGCGGUAGCAUAUAGGCUAGAGUUGCCGUCAAGUCUCUCGAGAAUUCACGACGUUUUCCACGUUUCGAUGCUCAAGAAGUACUAUCCCGACUCAUCCCAUAUCUUACAACCAGAAGAGAUCGACGUAGACGAAUCGCUUGCUUACGAAGAGAAACCUGUCCAAGUGCUUGACCGAAAAGUCAAAGAGCUAAGAAACAAGCAGAUUCCGUUGGUUAAAAUACUGUGGAGAAACCAUGGGGUAGAGGAAGCUACCUGGGAAGUGGAAGAAGAAAUGCGAAAGAAAUACCCUGAACUUUUCGUGAGUUAAGGUGAGAAAUUUCGCGGGCGAAAUUCUUUUAAGGGGGAGAGAGUGUGAGAACCCGUAAUUUUUCCCUUUUCUAGGUUUUAUUAUAUUUAAUGGCAUGUUUUCUGCAUUUUCUUUAUUCAAAAAGUUUCCAGAUAAUUUUUAUGAGUAAAUAUAGUUUUAGGUGAGUUUUCUAGUAUUGGUUAGUUUUUAAGAAAUUAAGAGCGUAUACCGGACGUGGGACCCACUAAGGCGAAAAGUUCGGAAAAAAUCGGCCAACUAGGUUAAGUUUGGAACACUGGGUUUAAAUUAUUGGGUGCUAAGAGAUAAUUAGAGGUUGCUAUUUGGAUUGGUGUGAGAGGAAACAAAGUGAUAGCUAUGCAUUUAAUAAAGUGACAAGUGUCACAUAGAGAUUGGUUGUACUUGAUGACCACUAUUCACCUUUUACCAUUUGACCAAAUAAAUCAAAAAAUUACCAAAAAUUCACCAUUUUUCUUCCUCUUCUUGGCCGGCCACCUCAAGCAAAAAGAAAGGGAAAAACUCUUCAAAUAUUUGCUUCUAUCUUGCUCAAAUUCAACAAAACAACCAUUUGAUCUUGCAUUUGUUCCAUAAAACCCCUUCAUUUAGUGAUUGUGAGGUGUUUAGUGGAGUUGUUUGGAAGGAUAAGGUGAUUAGUUUCUCUCUCUCUUGUAUUACUAAGGUGAGUAGUGAAGGACCCCUCUCCUCCAUCUAAUGAUGUUUCAUUCAUGAUUUGUGGUAGUUUAAGAUGUAAUUUUAUGGAUUAUAUCUUGAUUUUGGUUGAAUUGGUGAAGUUUUAUAAUUAUUGGUGAUUUUUCUGUUUUCAUAUGAUUAUUAUUAUGGGGUCAUGUAUGAUGAUUGGAAAUGAUAUUUAAGGCAGCUAGAAGGUGAAAAAAGUGGUUAAUUGCAGGAAAUUUCUGUUUUGGAAGAAAUUUGGAAAGUUAGGGUUUCAAGUUCUUACAUUCUGCCCGGCACUGUAGGUUAUAGUUAGAGGCCGAAUUGGCCUUGGGUUAAAACAUGAAAGUUGUAGGGAAUGAUAUUAUAGGGAUGGCUACAAAAUUGCAGGUCAAUCGGAGCAACGUAGCUUGAGAAAAGACUGAAAUACCCCUACUACCCUGGUUCUACCCGAAUUUGAUAAUUGCGUCUGUAAUUGGGUAAUUUGGUUGGGAAUGCUUCUGAUUUGGUUGUUGGUGCCUUCUGAUUAAUUGUAUCCUUGUAUCUUAUCUUUAGGAUGGCUUUGGAAUCACUUGAUUUGGACUUAGGUAGCCUGACUUAUGAUAUUUGAACCAGAAUGUGGUUUGUGAACCUAUUUUUGCGGUCCUGGUUUAGUAUCUUGCAUUUUGACCCAGUUACACUCGAAACUGGUAGAGUAGCCUUUUUCAACAUUGUAUCCCUAUCUCUUAGCUUCGAAACGGUGUAUCUUUCACCUCCAUCCGAUAAUCGUAGUGCCAAUGGUGCCAAAACCGUAAACGGAUGUCAAAAACUAUUUUUUUUGGGUUAGAACUUAAUGCCAUUUCUGGAUUUUCCUGGUUUACUCUAGUGCUUAUACAUUCUAGUGGAACCUUAUUUUGGUGGUAUUUGGCAUUGGUUAUGACUUGUAAUUGAGCCUUAUUAUGCUUAUUUGAAUGUUCUAGGCCGUGACGGUGGUGCAAGACGCUCUUAGGCGGAAGUGCAUGAAAUACCAUUUGCUUGAUUGGUGAGUGUACCACUCACUUGUUGUUUACAAUGUGGCUUUGUAUAUGUGAACUUGAUGCCUUGAAGGCUUAUUUGCUUCAUUGAACUUAAUUAAGUGAGGGUGUACUUGAUCGCCCUCACCCAUUUGGUAUAUCAUAUGACUGUCUACUGUUUUACUGCAAUGAUUGAAUGAUACAUGAAAUACUGAAUUGGUUCAUGAAUUUGGUGUCGCUUGGACGAGUAUACAACGACCAUUACUGAUAACGACUGAGCUCAACCCCAUUGGUAGUCGAUUGGAUCGAGCCGGCGAGGGCUUGGUCGUGAAAAUUGAUGAGCCAUGGGGACUGUUAUAUGAAAUCUUGUAGUAGUGAGACUCUUGAUUCCGGUAUACUCGAGUAUUACCAAUUUCUAUUGUUUGGAGUUCGGGCACGGUAGGGGUUGUUGGGUGGAAGGAAUGGAAGUAAAGUGGAGCCUACGGUUGGUUACUCUUAAACAUUGACGGAGGGUCAAUGAGAUCCGAUCAAGAAUGCAAACGAGGAAAAGGGCUCUUGAGAGCCGCCCGUAUCCUUUUAUCACCACUAUUGAUGUGUGCCUUUGCUUACUUUUGAUGUAUUGGAAUGAAAAACUUGAUGCUUAUAUGAACUUGGUUGCUUGAGUGGUAUUAUCUCACUGGGCGUAAGCUCACUCUAUUCCCUUUUGUUUUCCUUACAGGAAAAUAAAUACUUCUGGACUGGAUUUGAUAGUUGGUUGCCGAAUUGAGCUAGAUGGACAUAUCUUUUGUAUAACUCCUUGAUUGAAACCCUAAAUGUACUUUUGGGUCCGUUUCUCUUUUGAUUUGGCAAACCGUACAUGUAUCCACUUUUGAAUAACUUUUGUAUGCCACUUGGGAUUGUAUAUGCUUAAUUUCAACAUGUAAAUUUUUGCUUGAUGUUUGGUUGGGUUUUGACGUGUCGGUUACUAUUCAUGGCCGACUCCGGUUUCAUUUUUUUUAUCUUGACAUUUUGACUUGUUUACGCGCGUGUUGUAUGUUCCGGAACGUAUUAGAUCGCUCUAAACUGAGCCAUUAGUCCUAGCGAGAGUUGGGUAGGCAGUCCGCUAACCCCUUUGGUUCGCCUUAGGAGAAGGUGGGGCUGUCACAUUUCUAGCUUAUAACCGAUUGGAAGAAAGACAUGAAUAUUCUAUUUUUAACUUGAAUUUUGAAUGGAUUUUUGCUAAGGUUUAAUGCUUUAUACUUUGACAAUGUUCAUAUGGAGUUUUAGGGUGUUUAAUGUUGAAAUGAUGUGGGAAAGUUUGGAAAGUCAGAAUGAAUUUUGAAACUAAAAAAUGUUGCUGGAAAGCUGUUAAGUAGCCGAGGAGAGAGAGAGAGCUGGAAUUCUCCACCUUUAUCUUCAAACGUUUGGUUUAAUUUUGAUAUGUUCUGCUUAAGACAUCUUAUGGUCUUUAAUCACAAUUUGCAUGCAGAAUCCCAUUAAUUUAAAACAAGAAAAUUGUGUUGUGUUUGGAAGAAAAAGAAGUGUUUCAUUUUCUGGAAACUUUGGCAACCUUAGUCUUGGCUUUCAGUUGGAAUUUCGGAUGGACUCUUGCUAUGAACUGUGUUAUAUGUACCUUGAUUUAUGUUGUAUAUGAUGAAUUGUGAGUUGUGUGCAGGAAUUACAUUAGAGGUUUGGAGAGAAUUAGGGUCAGUGUGCUGAAUUUUUGUAAACUUGACACCAAAACUUGAUUUUUAGCAUAACUUUUCUUCAUUGCAAUUUCGUGACUAGUAAAUUGGCACAAAUGUAGUAAAUUUUCUUGGUUGAGGACUGUUUUCAUAUGAAACUAGUUAAUUAAACAUCAAAAUGCUAUAUUAUGGCCUAGGUUUUAUAAUUUUAGGAGUUCAGAUCCUUGAACUAGUUCUUAAAAGUUAAUAAUUGACUAAACCCUAAUUUUUGACAUAGGCGUCUACUUUUGUGAAAUUAGAUAUGAGAAGGGGAAAACUUAGUUCUUAAACCUUAUACUAAGGAAAUAAACAAACAACUAUAAGCGUUCAUAUCGAUUCCAAAAGCCAAGUUUGAGCUAGAAACACAACCCUACACCGAGGUGUGAACUUCAAUUACUUAAAGCUUGGUGAAUGUCCUAUAUUUGUUUGUAAUGAUUGAAUACAUGAUCAAUGAUAAAUGUUAUGUGCUUAGUUGACUAAUACUUGUUGGAUUAUUGAUGUUUGAAUUGUUUGAGUGAAAAUUGACAAUUGCUACUAUUUACUGAAAGGUGAGCGCAUACUUUAUUGCACUCAACCUAAGUGAAUUUUGAAAAUAAUAAAUGCCUAAUUGUUACUGAAAUUGUGCAUGAAUGUAAGCCGAGUAUGUACUUUAUCACAUCAUUUGAACUGGGCCCCAAACCCACUGUUGGAUAGUCUAUUCGAACCGGGUAACAGGGUUGGUCGAGUAGGCUAGAAGACAUUGGGUACUGAAAUGUUUGGUAUGCUCGAGUAUUACCCCCUUAAUAAGGCGCAUGUGGAAGUGACAAAGUGAUUAAUAAUUGAAAGGGAUUGUUUACUGUUUUGGAGGAUAUAAGGAGGAGAUUGGUGGAGUGUGAAGUGAUUGCAGGAAGUUGUGCAAUGAAUUAUUGAACGGAGCUAAUGCUACGUUUGGAAACGGACGGGAGCCACCUCUAGAGUCCGUAUUAGUACCGUAUCCUUUGAUAUUGAUUGUGUUAUUUGUUAAGAAUUGUUUCACGAAUUAUCCUAUUAUUAAUUGGUUUGUUAUUCCCAUUAUAUUACUGAAAAUGUGAAAUUGUGUGUUUAAGGUUACUUGUUUUCCUAAAACCUCACCGGGAGUAAGCUCAUGCCUUUAGUUUGUUUUCCAUAAUAGAGGUUGGAAACGUGGAAUUGGGGAAUAGUGAGCUUGAGAGUUGAAAUCUUUGUUUUAAAUGAAUUGCCAUCCUAUUUAUACUUACUGAAUUGAUUGAACAACUUAUAUUUUGAUCCGUUUGGUUGUACAUAUAAGUAUGGCGAUGAUUUGGAAUGUUGGAUGGUUUGUAGUGUUUAAUUGUGGUCUUUUAAUGCUUACUUUGGAUUUAAUGCUAUUGAUUGGAAGAUUUUGAGUGAGUCCUGGCUAGUGUUAGGUAGGCGGCCUGUUAAAUCUUAGGGUACACCCUAAGGGGAGGUAAACUUGUCACAUAUUAGCUAUCAAAUCUACAUUUAAUGCUUGGUUUAUACACUUCUUGUAUUAUGUCCAUUGAUUAUUUUAUUAUAGUGGCUUGGUCAAGCUUCUCGUGGCGUUAGAUUUUUGUUGGAGCUUUCGUUAGUAGUGAAGUUGCAAUUAUUAUAUUGGCUUUGGGUCAUUAGCUUUUUAUAUCUAUUUCUCUAUUGUCUGCCGCAUCUAUUUUGUACCAUCUUUCCUGCUCUUUAUUUUAGUUUCUCUACUUUGCAUUUGCUUGGGUAAGCCAUUUGCUUGCUUUCCUUUAAUUGCUCUUAUUCUCAUAUUUCUUUUAUCUUUGAUCACAUGAAGUUAUAAUUGUUUUUCAUGUGUUUUUCAUCUGCUGGUGUUCAUGUUUAGUCUUCUUUUCUUAGUAGAUUCCUCAGCGUUGCUUCACUUCAGCUUAUAGUCAACGAAGCUGUAUUUAUUGCCCUUGUUCCUUGUGUUGAUCGUUUGCUUUUAAAGUAUCUACAUUUAUCUACUUUCUGCUCUUAUGUUCGAAGUAAUGUUGUUAUCAUUUUCUCUUCACUAUUAAUUACGUUAGAAUAUCUAUUGUUUUGUCAUGGUUAUUUUUUAUUUAUUGCUUAAUAUAGAAAGUUAUUUUUGUUUGUUGUAGCUUUUCGAUUUCCAUUGAAUCUAAAUAUUUUGUUAUGUCUGCUUAACAGAAAAAGAUGAAAGAAACAUGGGUAAUUCGUUCUCUUUGCGUGCAAUCUCUCCUUCUGAGAAGCUGAUCGGCAGAUUUGCCUUCGAUCUCUCUCUUCCUUAGAGUCCAUUACAUUUCAAUGAACCGUAAAAAAUUCAAUCCCUCGAUUUGUUCUGGCGAAAGCUUUCCCCAGUAUGGUAUAUAUAGAUUCUAAUGAUGAUUUGCCUAUGCUUCUGCCGGCCUCAACCCAAGUCGCAGCCGAUGGCGCUCAGAUAGCAUCUUUGGAGGAAAAGAACAAGGAAAAAUAAACAAGAAGAAAAGGAUGUUUCCGAAUCAGGAGAUAAUAGUUUCCAGGGAUCUGAUGAUGAUCAAUGCAGAAUCUGUUUGUCUGGUUGCAGAGAUGAUUUGCCAUACUUGUGGAGGGUUCGUCCAAGGUGCAAGCACGGGUUUCAUGCAGUUUGCAUUUAUAAAUGGUUAAAGACUAAUGCAACCUGUCCAAUAUGUCGCCAGAGUGUUUAUGUUACGUGAUUAAUCACUAGGGUUUUUCUUAAUUAGAGAUAAAUAUUAAAAGUUCUUUGUAGCUAGGAGUCUUAUCUUGGCGAAAAUUUUGUAAGUUGUAUAUAAUCAAAUUCUUUAACCAAAGCUGGUAACCUAAAAAAAAAAAAAUUUUGUUAUGUUGGCUAACUUCAUUAAUUAAUAGCAAAAUUUAAGGAAUCUUCUGAUUUUUUCUAUUCACGUGUCUUUUUCUUCUUAGAUUGGGUUUUUGCAUUGUUCUACACUUAAUUUAUCCUUCUUCAUGUAUGAACAACCAAGCUAUUGCUUUAGCCAUUUAACAUUUUUUCCCUCUUUAUCUCUAUACUAUAUUUUGCUCUUUGCUCACUAUAUUUAGUUUUUCAUUACCUUGCUAGUUCAUUUAAUAAACCCUAGCUUGAUUGUCUUACUCGACUCUCAUUAUUUAGGUAAAGCAAUCUUUUGUUCAGCUAAUUCCUUUUUCUCUACUCAGUGUAUUCUGUUUUCUUUGUUUUUCUCUUACAAGUCAUAUUUACUGCCUCUAUUUUAUUAACACUAUUGAGGAUUCUUAUCUCUCUUAUAUAUACUCCUUCUAACUAAUUCAACCUUUGAAUGGCUUGUCAUUGUUAUUGUUGCACACCAUAGUUAACAUAAUUUCUCUUCAUUUUAGCUGCUAUCACAUAUGGGUCAGAAACAUAAAUUUUCAUAAGAAGAUGAAUAUUGUUUAGAAGAAACCGUCACAACCUUGAAAGAUAUAUUAGGAAAAUAGUUUAGCAUAAAAAGGCAGCCCUCUUGCCUACUGAGCAGCAAAGUACUGAGCACAAAUUUCAUUUGUGAUUCCUGUUGUUCCAAUGACUGAGUGUCGCGCCCCAUUUUUUAAUAAGAAAAAUAAUGAGUUUAGAAAAAUGGACUUUUUGAUUUUUUUGGAAAAAUGAGUUUUGUUUUUUUAGAAAAUGAAUAAAGGAAAAGGGCCUAAAUGGGACUUGUAAUGUGACGAUUGGGGCCCAAAUUAUAGUUCGAAAAGGGUUUUUGAAAUAAAAAAUCGGAUAGUCGGAGUCGUCGCCACUUGUAUAGAGUUAAAGAUGUACCAAGUCACCUAAAAUGAUUUUUUAGAUAAAAUUAUGGAAAACCCUUUUUCAAACGACUCCUAAGUCUACGAAAAUCAGAGAAAGUGUACGGGAGUCACAUUUGACGAAGGCGAAGCAAGGAUAGAAAUCUGACGGCACCCCUUCGACCUAGCCAAGGCUAGUUGCGUGAUUUAGUCAAAAGGUUUUCUUGUUUUAACAAAGAAUUUAUCACAUUUGGAUGUACUAUAUGAAUGCAAACGCUAAACCUAGGAGGGCAUCGGGGGGUCAAAAUAUCCCUUCGAAGUUAAUUGGUACCAAUUAUAUUAAUUGUGACGCCCAAUAAAGAUUUUUCGAAGAUGUCACGAAUAAUGCAAAAAUAUGAGACUCUAAAAAAGGAAAAAGAACAAGAUAAUUAUAUAAAUACAAAUAUACGUGACCUAAGGGAAUGCAUCAUGUCGGGUACGGGGGACUAAUGUUCGUGACUCAAUUUUCCCUUUUAAUAGAGGGAAUACGAGCGUGCUAAGGCUAGAAAAGCCAAACUCGUCCAUAUCCCAUAUCCAAGGGGUUUUCCCUAAUCUAAUGAAGCAAAUGCACUACCCUAAUCCUAUUUCUAGAAUGAAAUGCAAUUCUAAUGUUAUGUAUCAUACAUAGGGGGGAUAUAUAUAGGAAAAUUAGGGAUAAGGGCUAUAUGUAUAAGGGGUAUAUCAUACAAAAUGAUAAAAGACCCUAGAAAGUAAAAUAUGCAUGAGAUUAAAUGAUUUUAUCACACAAUCAUGAUCUAUCGCGCGAAGGGGCUCCUAAGGGUCUAGCGUUGGACUAGCCCAUAUUUCUACUUUCUCACUAGCGUUGGACUAAUGAGAAAUCGAACAAAGAGCCACAACUAGCAUUGGACUAGUGCGGAUUCAGGAACGGCGGCCACAAUUAGCGUUGGACUAGUGUGGUGACGACAUGCAUUUAUUACAACCAAAUAAAUCAUGUAAGACCUAAUAAAAGCAUAUAAACACAUAAAUCAUAUAUAGCACAUAACACACGAGCAUGAUAUAUAGAUGCAAGACCCUAAGAAAGCGGUAACACAUAGCACAUAGACAUGCAAAACACACAUAAGGCAAGUAAAACAAAUAAAGCCCUAACUAUUACAUUUGAGGGGGGCCCUACUACAAUCUAAAAGGGGGAAAUGAAAUAAACGAUUAAAAUAAAUACCUAACUAUUACAAAUUUGGCAUUCAAGUGCCUCUUCAAAUAAUUGAAAUUGAAAAUAAAAUAAGUAUUCAAAAUUUCAACAAAUAAAGCAAAUAAAACAUUCAAUAAAGACAUACAAUUAAACACAUAAGAGUCACAUAAUGCACAUAGGGUCAAAUAAAGUAAAAAUAAGGGAUAGAGUGUACCUCCCUUGAGUUGGAGCUCUAAUGACACGAAUUUACUUAUUUACCCUCCAAAAUAAUAAAAGGGUCAAGGCAUCACUUUAAUUAAUAAUAAUUAAUGAAAUAAAAAUUAAACACCCAAAUAACAACUAAACACCAAAUAAAAAUUAAACACAAAAAUGAAAAUUUGAACCCAAAAAUGGAAUUACUUAAAAUAAAUCGUCUAUAUUAAAGAAAUUAAAGCGAACAAGAGUCUAAUUGAAAUAAUUAAAAAAUUUCUAGGAUUAGUACUAGAAUUAAUGACUCAUGAUGGAAUUUACCAAAAUAAAAAAUGCUAAAAAUUUCACAAACAAAAAUCAAAGAAAUCACUUGUUACGAUUAAACAACAAAAUACUUAAAAAUAUCACUAAAAACUCAAAUCAUAAAUCCCUCAAACACUAUUAAACCUCAAGAUUUCAUUCUAAGAUUCAUGAAUAACCCGUCCAAAAACCACAUUAAAGCAUACCAAUUAAAAUCAACAAUUUAAUGGGACCAAAUUGAUCAGUCUUCCCAAUUCUUCGGGCCAUAGUAACAUCAUGGGGACUUGAGAGGACAAAAUGCAAUUUUUUAAAGUUUUGCAUGCAAAUGCUUCCAAGGACUCUCGGCAAUGCAACUGAACUUUUUCAUUAUAGCUUUUGGGUUAUCUGAUGCAAUCUUUUCUCAUCCGAACACAGCUAACAACUUAACCAAUCAAAAGCUUGGACUGAAGUAACUAGAUUACCAAAACUUUUCCAUUUUCUAGCCACAAAAUCUGUGACGCCCCCACUUCUCCCUAAGGCGAACCAAAGGGUAUCCGCGGAACGCCUGCCUAACUCUCGCCAGGACUCAAGCAAUUCCAUUCAGACUUAUUAUCGGACCAUACAGUACGAUCAAUAACCUAGAUACAAUAAAUGCGGAAGCGUUCAAGUUUAAUAAAAGUCAUCCAUUAUCCAACCCGCACAUCGGGUGUUCAACAACCAUCAUAAAUCCCAAAUAUACAUCAUGCUCCAAAAGUUACAUUCGGAUUUCAAAAAUACAACCCAAAAGCCAAGACAUAGCCAAAAGUAAUAGAAACCCUAAACAAAAGCGUAUCAGGAAGGUUUCUUCGAUACCUUGCCAAGUUCAAUCCUGUUAAGGAAAACAAAUCUACAGGGUGAGCAAAACGCUCGUGAGGCCAAGAACACACAUACAAGCACAUUACUCAAAUAACAAUCUCAAUUUACAAGUCAAGAAAUCAUAUUUUAUUAAUUAACAAUUUACUGGAAAUAUAACCAGAAACAAUUCAAGGAUACUGGAGCCCUCAGGAGCUAUAUUCCACUUGCACAUUCAAUAACCUCCACGAAUUGACACUCCGUCAAUCGGGUAGGUUUAGUCCGUAGAACUCCACUUAACCUAUCCCCUUUCACCUUACAUACCCCUAUAUCGGGCCCGCCUGUCAUUUGUUUGUGGCGAUACUACUCGAGUAUGCCAAGCAAGACCUCUCACUAGGUCAAGCUUAUAUAUCUCAUGGCUCGCCAAGGUUCCGACCGAGCCCAUGCCGGCUCAAGUCCAAGGUCGGUCAAUGAGAUUUGGGCGUCCCCAUGUGCACUUGUGUGUCGAGGAGAUUCACUCCAACGACGUAGGCAACUAUAGCAUACCAUUACAUUUCAUUCAUUCAUUCAAUACAUGUCAAUCAUUCAUUCAAUGCAUGUCAAUCAUUCAUUCAAUGCAUUUCAAUCAUUCAUUCAAUACAUUUCAACCAUUAAUAUUUCAUUUCUAAUGAGAACGAGUGUGGUAAAGUACACACUCGACUCCACUUUCAAGAUUUCUAAUCAUUAAUAACAAUUAAACAUGUAACAAGUUUACAUACACCUGACACUCACAAGUAUUAGGUGUAAGUAAGGUCAAGGAAAGUUCAAGCGUCCACCGUGGGAUCCUCUUGAAGGUCCUCGUGUGCGCCUGAGGAAAUAAUAGUGAAUUAUCAUCCAAAUCCCAAAUAUCGAGGAAUAAUUCGUUCACUAGUAUUAAUCUAGGGGAUUCCGUGAAAAUGAACCUCAAUUACUCGUAAAUCGAGGUUUGAGAGGGGUUUGAUAACUUUCAAAAGUAUUAAGUCUUUAUCUAGGAAAUCGGGGAUAAAACGUUUAGAUAAUAUCAAAAGAAUAAAGAGUUCUUGAAAACUUAUUUCCUUGAAAGUUGGAAAUUUUCAGUUUGUUAUGAAUCUUUGAAAAUCGUAACUCACUCGGCAUAAGUCGAGAAUUGGAAAACUUUAUACCGUUGGAAACCUCUUAAAAAGUACUACAAGUUCUAGAAGACACUUUUCCAUGAAUCGAAGUGGAAAGCUGCUCAAAAAUGAGCUUGAGUACUGUUCCAAAUCACCCAGGAUUGAGCGCGGGGUUGAUUUUUCGCUAACUUUGAAAAUUCGCGCAGAAUUUACUCGUUGUAAACCAGCCCUUGAAAUUUAUAGCUCAAUUAUAGGUGCAAGCAAGGUUUAGGACAGAACAAGCGGAUCGAGAAUUGGAGUUUCGAGUACCAAGAUAUGGUAGCUCAAAGUUGGGUAAAUUUCAAGACUGUUAACAAAUUUCCAGAUUUGGUUCCGACUUUGGACCUUUAGUUAAGUGUCGGAACGGACUUGGAUUGAUACCAAAUUUGUAGUAUAAUACUCCUAUAUGAAGGGUAUCUCUCUAUCAAAUUUCGUGGAAAAAUAACUUCGGGAAGGUGGUUAACCAAUCAACCAAAGUUUGAAAUUACUAAGGCCAAACUGCCUUUAGCUCUCUUUCUCUGUUUCCAAACAUUCGGCUAAGGAAAAACCUCCAAACAUGGUUCAUUUGUGCAAGAAAGGUCUAAGUAACAUACAUGGUACUUUUAGUAGGUGUUUAGCACCAAGAAAUUCAUUUAGUAAACCACAACAAGUCUCACAUCUAAUCUGUCCAAAUCUAAGAGUUUUCAAAACGAGGCAGUCGUCGUAUUUUGAUCAUAAAUCACUCAAUUUAGCUCGGAAUUGGGAAUGGUUGAUAGUGUUGGAAAAUACAUUCAUAGGGAUAAAAUUUCACAGAAGAAAUCAUUUUAAGUUUCAGCAUGCAACUGGCUCGAAAUUAAGCCUAAAGUUACAGCAUCAUCAAAUCAUUUCGGCAGAACGGAGAAACAGGGCAGCUGAAUUCAGAAGAGUGGUGCGGUUCACACACAUGGAACCAGAAUGUGCAUUAUAUACCUUGGAAAUAUGGGAACGUAUAGUUUCAAAUCCGCUAACGGCACUUGAUUUCGACGUCGGAGUACGGAGUUAUGGACGAAAUACGAACACUGGUCUGGUUACGACGGAAACCGUUUUCCAGAUUACUAGCUUUGGGAAAUAAAUUCUUUUGAUCAACCAAAACUCAACAUUUUUCAACGAAAUUUUUACACAACUACUACAACAUGUAAACAACACAAUCAAGCCAUUAAAUCUCCUAAUUUCUGCAUUAAAGUGGCCGAACAGAGCAGGGGCAAAAUGGUCAGAUUUGGCCUUUGCGCCUAACGUGAGUUUCUAUCAAUUUUCCAUCAACAAACCACUGAUUUAAACACUAAUUCCACAUUAUAAACAUCAUCAAGAACAAAAUCAGCAGCAACCCAAGAGUGGGAAUUCAUAGAGCCCACUUUUCCAAUUUUCCAACAUCCACAACAACCCAUAAGAAAUCAAGAGCUAAAAGAUAUACUAGAACUUCCAAAAAUCAAAGUUAGAAGGCUAGAUUAAGACUUACUCUUAGUUGAUGUCUAAGUCAGAGAUUCGGUCCUUCCUUGCUCCUAAGUGAGCCGUGAAAAUCCUCCCCUUUUUAGCUAGAUGUGAACUCCAAGGCUUAGGCUAAGUGGUGCUAAAUUUUGAGAAGAUUUGGUGGUGAUUUGAAUGGUUUUUGUAGAGGAAAUGUUGAAGAGCUUUCGGUUGUCCUUGGCUGUCUGCUAUCCGUCCAUGGCAGCUAGAAGAAAUGAAAUGUUGGUCUGAUUCCUUUGCGUACAAAUGAAGCUUGCCGUCUAAUAUUUUAAGUACGUAAAAAUCAAUUGCAACUAGUGCGCCUACGCGCGCGUUUUGUGUUCGAUUUCUCUUAAGUUUGUUGCACUAGUGCACUAAACCUCUAGGGCACUUACAUUCAUAUAAAUAUUAUUCAUUCUUAAUUGUCCCAAAAUAAUGGUCCAAGGUCCUCAAUUAAGCGCGCACGUGAAAACACGUAUUUCCAAUUUAGGCGCGAUAAAAUGAAACUUUCGAGAAAUUCUUAUAACAAUCGUACUACCAACUAUCACUUGAGUUUUUAAACCUAAAAUUGCCUAUUUUAGGACCAUUGUAUAUGUCUAAAUUUUUGAGCUUAUUGUACUCCCAAUUGGCUAAAGUGUUUAGACACGUUUUCACUUUUCACUAAACAAGCUUAUAAGAAAAUAAUUUUUUGAAACGAGACACUUCAAAGAUAUAACGAAACUAUAAAACCCUGUACUUAGGUCUAAUAAGGCUAGAAAAUAUUAUUCGUGGCAAAAAUCCAAAUAAAUAAUUAAUUUAGCCAAAAUUAGGGUUUUUAAAAAUAAUAGAUUUUCGAGUCCUCACAAAUCCUUAUGUUUAAGCACAAAAAAUUAGAUGAAAAAAUCACGCAAACAUCAAAGAACAACAUUCUGCAAUUUUUUUUCAGCCACGAUUCUCUACCAUUGCUGUGUUUGUCCUAUGUAAAUUUCCAUCCAAGCACAGCCACUACUUCAACCAAUCAUCAAGCUUAGAUUCGAACAACAAAAUACAGAAAAUCAAUAUCCAAACAAGUAAAAGACAGGAACGCAAUCCUCUUGGCAGAAGCUUUCGACAAAGUCUGAUGCUUUGGCCUCAGCAACCUCAAUCGACAAUUUUAAACAAGAAAAACAGUCUCAAAUUCUCGUUAAACUCCCUAAAACCAUCAUCAAGAUGCAAUACAACAGAAAGUGAAAUCUGAGUUGGGGUAAAAGUUUGCUAACCCAUAUUCAUUUAUGAAAUCUAUUACAGAUGCUAUGGGUUCGUUGCCAACUAAACGAAAUAUGGGAUAAUCUCUAUACAAAGACAACUCAUGACCCACAACAGCACAUGACCCAGAUGCAACGGUAUGGGGUGAAGAUCUGAACCAACAACUUGUGGGAAACCAGGAGAACCGAAGCAAGAAAAAAAUGAAACCAGAAAAAAUUACAUACUGCAGCAUACCAACAUCAAUCUGAGUAUGUUUAAACAAGGAAAAUGGAAAGAAAAAGGCUACCUUGAAGACUUUAACCCGGGAUGCGUAGAAACCGUGAGCUUUGCCCGAUCAAAGGCUGAAAGUAGGCUUCGAAUGACAGCAGGGGUUUAAGAGUUGAUGGGUUCGUCAGUUCGAGCUUGGAUUUGGCAUUGUUAGAAACGUUUUUCCUCAGCCCUUGCCUGUGCUCAAGCUUCCUCGUUCUUUUCUUUUUCUCUGCUUUUUCCUCCUUGCCCGUAACCUCUCUCCGAUCUCUCCCAGUUUCUCCAGCCCGUCACUCUUCUAGUUUGACCGUAGCUCCUUUUGUUCCCUUUCCUUCCUUUUUCCCUCGCCAAGCUUUCUCUACUCAGCCCGCCUCUCUUGUUAUGCCUCAAGCUUUUUCAUCAGCCGAACUCCCUUUUUUCUCUUCCCUCUCUCUCCCUACUCAGUUGUCAUAUUCCUCAGCCCCCCAGAUCCUUCCUCGGCUUCCUUUUCUCCCUCGCGGUGCUCUUUUCCUUUGUUUCUUUCCUUACCUCCGUUUCUCAGCCGCCACUUCCAGCUCUCCUUUAGACUCCUUCUCAACCCUAGCCGUCACUCCUCUCUCUGGU
rnacentral:lncRNA from 1 species